GCGGCAUUUUGUGUUAAUGUGUAUGUCAUGGAAUGUUGUUUUUCGCGCGCGUCAUGUCCCUCGGUACUUGAACGAAGUGGCUGACGCUCUGUCUCGUUUUCACUGGUCCCGAUUUUGGACGGCGGCGCCAGGGGCAUUGAAGGAAGGGCAGGCUUGCCCGGACGAGAUAUGGCAGCUGGGAGCAUCCUGCUUGGGGGACUUGUGAAGGCUUCGCUGGCACCGGCCACAUGGGCCUCC